GCUAAAAAUACGAAUAAAUAUAUACAUAAAUAAAUAAUGACAUAACUCUGGGAAGAGGUCCAAAGGCUUCAGCAGGCUUUCUAAGGGGAACAUGGUGCCUGAAAAGGUUAAGGACUCCUGUCUUCAAGCCUUUUGUCUGGAGCCUCUGCUCCACCCUUUGGCUUCAUUUGCUGGUCCCCUGACCCCUACCCCCGGGACUCCAUACUUCAUCUAUAGUGAUCUGCAGAUGGUUGCUCCAGACAUACUCUUCAUGGCCUGAAAGCCUUUGCAAAUGCUUCUCCUUCUGCUUCGAACACUCUUGUCCUUUGCCAAGUUUGGUUCACCCUUCAAGGCUCAACUUUGCUGUCACUUUCCCCAGGAACCCUUCCCCAGUCCCACCACUGCAUUUGGGAAGUGCCAGUGCUCUCAGGGGGACCAUGUACCAGUCUGACCCCCACCAGACUGCUAGUUCCCCCCAGGCAAGGCCUCAGUGUCGUUCUUUAGGGCCCCCAGUGCUUAGCCUAGUGCUUGGCAUGCAGCAGGUGUUUAAUACUCUCAAAAAAUAUCCAUGCACUUCGAGAGCGAGUCACCUCAUUGACUCUUGUGAUGUAGUUGGUACUCACUGCAUUUUGUAAAUGGAGGUGGAAGAGGGGGCAUUAGCCAGUGAUGGCAAGUGGCUGGAGGAAGGGCUUGGGGAUUUAGGGGAUGGCGAGCACCGCGUUUGAAGCAAGAGCACUGCGGGGCAUGGGGGAGACUAGGCUGCAGGGAGAGCAUGAGGCCAGCUGAGCGUGGAGAUGCUGAAGGCCAUACCGUGCAGUUAGGGCCUGACCCCGCUGGCACUGAGGGCAAGGUUGCGCUUGGACCGCUUCCGCCGUCUCCCCCUUCCUGUCUCUGGGGAAGAAGGUCAGGAGAAUGUGGUCACAGGUUUGGCGACAAUUCUUAGUAUCUCAUGCCUCCACCUCCUCUUUCCUGAACUGGGUAUUUCUAGUUCUUUUUUGCCUUUUCCAUUGGAUUGAUAUCUUGUUUCUUCAGGCAGAGUAGGGUCACACCUUGGCUUAGUUAAAAAGAAAGUCAAAAGAGAUAGAUUUUGGCUUUUCCAACACUCACCAGCUGUGUGACCUUGAGUGAGCUUCUUAGCCCCCAAGAAUGAUGUUUCUAAGUACGUGCAGGUUCUCCACCAGACACUUGCUCCCAGCAGGUUGCCUGGCCUGAGUGAUGUCGGAUUUGCUGUCACCUUCCCUGUCUUUGCUCAUCUCGUGCCUUCUACACGUGUGACAGCCCUGCUGGGAAGGUAGGCUCCUUCCAGGUUGUAAAAACCCUGCCCAUCUUUCACGGCCCAACUCAAACGUCCCCUUCUUUUUGGAUGUCUGUGAUGCUGUGUGGCAGCAGGCAAGUUAUUUACCUUCUCUGGCCCCAGUUUCCUCACCUGCCUACCAGAAGCCACCAUGAGGAUCGAAUGAGCCAACAUGUGGAAGUGGCCUUGGGCACCUCGAGGGUGUUUUCGCCCCUUCUUGGGAGCGCCUGCCAACUGGUGUGCACAAGGGCCUUGCUCUUGUCCCCGUUAACACGGAAGGGUCUGUAAUCCCUUCUCUCAGAUGCUCCGUCCCCAGGCACGUGCAUGUUUUUGAUCUCCAGCUUUUGCCCUCCUCUUGCUGCAUCCCCCGUGGAUCUCCUCCAUAAAUCUUUCAGCACUGGCUUCAUAAGCAAUGAGGCCAUAGGCCUGGGUCAUAUCCACAUCAAAGGACUUCUGCAGGAGCUGGUGAUGGAGUUAUCUUCAGAGCCAGCUAGGAGGCCUCUCCAUUUGGCUGUGCCUUGGGGGGCCAGGCCUGGAGCUACCUGUCUUUAUAUGGGCUGACACUCUGGGCAAAGGGUAAAUGCCCCCAAGCAGGUUCUCUAAACACUGGUCUGAAAGAGGGGCUGGCAAAGAGGCCUGCCAUUCCCAGAGGGCCCUAGGGAUGGGCGUUAAUCAACUUUGUUUGGACCCUUGUGCCUCUCUGUUCUGUGUGGCAGGUAUUCUUUGCCCCCAUUUUCCAGACUAGGAAACUGGGGCCCAAAGAGCUUAAGGGAUUUUUUUCCAGGUCACACAGCUUGUGAGUGGCACAGCUAGGACAUCAAGUCUAUGUUGGUCUGCCUCCAAAGCCUCACUUCUCCCCUUAUGCCCCUCUGUCUGUGCACCUGCAGCCCCCAAAUGAGAAGUUUGCUGCAUCCUCUUGGGAGAAGGAAUCUGGCUUGUCCUGGGUAAGGUACCCAGAGAUGCUGCAGGCCUACACCUGUUCCAAUCUGCACAGCAAAGAUGGACCAGGAGUCUGUGAAGGCUGCUGUCUGAAAGGGUCAAGAGGGGAGCCUCUGGACACCCAACAUUGUGACCCGGAGCCAUGAGAACUUCGCAGGGGUGCUGUGGCAUCUGGGGAUUGGGGUGUUAACCAGGCCAUCAAAGUAAUGACAUCCUCUGCCUGCCCGAUGCCUGCCUAGCAGGCAGGAGGGGGCUUUUGACACGCAGCUAGGGGUCUAAUUGGAGUUGUAGCCGCUGGCCUAUACCAGAGCCACAGCAACGUGGGAUCUGAGCCGCAUCUGCAACCUACACCACAGAUCACAGCAAUGCCAGAUCCUUAACCCACUGAGUGAGGCCAAGGUUCGAACCCACAAACUCAUGGUCCCUAGUUGGAUUCGUUAACCACUGAGCCAUGAUGGCAACUCCUGUUUUUUUAAUUUUUAUCUUUAUUUUUUGGCUGUGCCUGCAGCAUGUGGACAUUCCUGAGGCAGGGAUCGAAUCCAUGCCACAACAGUGACCUGAGCUGCUGCAGUGACAACACCAGGUCCUUAGCCCACUGUGCCGCCAAGGAACUCGCAGAGGAAGAGCCUCUUUACUGUGGCUGGAAUGUACAACGCAUGAGAGCAAGUGGUGAAGGCUGAGGUGGGAAAGACAGGUGCUUCCACCACCCUGGGAAGCUGAUGGUCACCUCUCUGAAUCUUUCUACGGUGCCCGCCUCUCUACUUACACCGUUAGGACCUAGAGAUGAGGCACCCUGAAUGCCAGGCUGCUGCCUCAGCAGCUCCAGGCCCAGGUGGUGUGUGCGCAGUAGCCAAAAGAGCCCAGGCCUGGUGGGCGGGGAGGCAGGGCCACCUGGAGUCAGAACAGACCCUCCCACAUGAAGUUUGAAAGGAAGCAUCUUGCAGCUCCGUCUAAUUACAGGGUAAGUGAGCGGGCCUCCCUCACGGUUAAUUUGCUAUGUGCCUUUAUUGCCAGCAGAAGACAGAUGACUCACAGAGGGUAUUCCAUAUAGGCCUGCCAGUAAUUGUCUUUAUGACUUCAUGAGCCUUUUAUGGCCCCCGCUGGGAAAGGUGUUUUAUUUUUCUUCUUUUAAUUCUCCAUUUUCAGUCGGUAAAUAACCAACUUCUUGGGAGCAGGAAGAAUGUCAAGUUCGGGAUCUGGGUGAAGCCAUCCCAACAAGAUAGGCGACGACCAUGAGAAUUGAAGCUGGGGUCAAAGGCAAAGGGUGGAAGGAAUGGGGACAAGGUGACUCACCCAAGAGGAUGUCGCAUGAAUAAUCCUCAACAGUGAUUAAUAUGUACAUCAUCAAAAUUUAAAACUGAAUAAAUGUUUCUUUUCAGCAGAUUUACUUUCUCAAUGAUGCUUGGCUUAGAUUAAUGAUAAUGUGAGUUUAUGUUUCCACUGCUCUGCUUGGAGAGUCGAGGGGAGGAGGGGGGAGUGGGUGGAUGGGGAGGAAAUUUGUGGUGGCCCCCAAGAGUGCUGUGUGGGAGGCUAGCCACAAGCGCAUUAUAUUUAAUUAUUGUCUCGUCUCUCCACGUGCAAGAUGGGCAACAGAUCAUUGUUUGAAUAGAAUGAGAAUGGGAGGUAUGGCACCUCAGUGGCGCUCUGGGGCUGUGACGUACUGGCAUGCAAAAAUGAAUUGUCAAAUUUCCAGGAAUUCUGUGAGCUGUUCUACACGAUGUUGAUAGCUUGAAAUCAGCCAGAGUGGGAUUAUUUACACUGAGGUCAUUGGCAUAUCCUAUAGAGUUGAGCCCCACUCCCAACUCCUACUCUGGUUGUUAAAUAUUGAUCAGCACACCACCGUGGUAGUGAUCCGGUCUUCUAGAGUAUUCAAGCAGGGUGAAGGGCCACUUGGUAGGAUAAAACUACUACAGGUUAACAUUAUUGAUCACUUACUAUGUGCCACACACUAUUCUAAGCACUUUACAUGUAUAGUCGUGAAUCCUCUUAAUAACUCUGGGAUUGAAUUAUUCCUGAGCCUAAUACUGUACCUGGAAGACUGAGACUUAGAGCCAGAAGAGAUUACUAACUUGUAUCAUUCUUCUCUUGUUUUUCAUGGAAUUGACAGUGAGGGGACAUGGCUUGGGCAAGUUCAGUGUCCUUGCAAUGGGUCUACUGACUCCCCAGUCAGGGUCUGUUCUCCUGCUCUUAUUCUUCUGGCUUGCCAUGCAUAGCCCCACCUAAGCCCAGGCAAGAGCUGAACUCAAAGGCUGGGAGCUGAUAAAGGAGGCAGCCCCAGGCCCGAGUCAUGGAAUGAGUCCGGUGGGCUCUGUUUGCGUUGUUCCUCCACCUCUGGCUGCUGGAUAGAGGCUUGACGGCUCCCUGGUGCCUGGGCUCCAUCCUGAGCUACCUCUCCUUCCACUCUGCCAUUGUCUGAGGAUCCCACUGGAAGUAAUUCAGACUUUAGUCUUUCAGAAACAACCACCUGGCGUAAUAAGAAAAAAUAAAAAUAAAAACCCAAGCUGGAGCUCUGCCUGUUAGCCUAGAGCCCUUAGCUUCAGGGAAGUGUGGAAAGAGGUGGAUGGGCUGCAGCUCUCCCAGCCAAAUGAUCAGCCCGGAGAAUUCAAUGCUAACCUUAGCACAGGGGUUCAAGGUAAGCCCAGUGGGGACUGGGAUUAGCCUCUGCAGCUUGCUAUGAUGAUUGCUUCUGGUGUGAAAAAGGUGGCCGGAGUCAAGGCAGAGAGACUCAAGGUGAAAAUCCCCUCAAUUCUUAAAUAUAUAGGCAUAUUCUAAUGUAGACUCCAUUCUACUAUGGUUAACAUUCCAAUGUGAACUAUAGGAUCAGGCAGUUCCAGAGCUAAAGGGCCUUCUAGAAUCCUUUCCCUGCCUCCUGGACUGGAAACCAAGUGUCUCCUGGAGAGCAGGAGGUGUGAAUACCUUUCUGCAGAGCAGGGCUUCCCAGGCAGGGACAAUGGAUUGUUUUCCUCAAUCAGAGAGUGUUGCUGGCAGACGGGCUGCUACAGAAGAAAGACAGACAGGGCUUCUAGUGCUGGUGUGUCUGUGCCACUUUGCACAAAUAAAUUCUCCUCUUUGAGGCUCAUUUUCCUAGUCCAAGUGGAGGUUUCAGAAUGUGUGGUCCCUUCUAGCUCUUAGAUUCUAUAUCCUAAACAAAAAGCAACAAUUCAUAGAAUUACACAUACACACACAAAUUGACAAAUAGAGAAGGCUUUCAAAAUCUCAUUCAAAUGAUUGCUGGAUUUGUCUAUUAGUGAAAUUUGUUUCUUUGCAUGUGCUAAUUGGUCUUGGCAUUAAUUAAUCUGAUUUCAUUAUAUUCUCUUUAAUUUGUCAAGAUAUCAUUUUGCUAUUGGGUGACGGAACACUUGGGAGGAUUGUUAGAAUUGGCACAUGCCCCCCCCAAAGUUCCUGGAGAAAAGUCGUUAUCAAUUAAGUUAAUUUGCAUGCGCAUUAGGUUAAUCGUUUUAGUUUAGCCAAAUUUGUAGAAAUUUACAUAGCAAAUUGACCCUCCACAUUUCACUUAAACAUAUGUAGCACACCGAGUAGUGCAUUUUGAGUUGCUAAUGAAACUGAGGUUAUUUUACACGCUUCUUUUAGUCAAAGAGGUCCAAUUAGACCAAGUAAUUUUUUAUUUCAUCCGUAAUUGCAAAACAAAUAAGCUUCUUGGAAUUUUUUUUUUUUUUUUUUUUUUUUUUUUUUUUCCUAGCAGCAGCAUCACACGGACAGGGCCGUUAAUAAGGAAGUCAUGUUUUCCUAAUUAAGCCCGGUUUGAUUCCUGCUCACUGUACUGGCGUCAGCCUUCUCCAGCCUUCCCCUAGGUACUCUUCUGCCUGAGUUGCUAAGCCUCCUGGUAUACCUAUUAAUAGAAGACUCCCCCACAUGGAGCCAACUGAAUUAAAAAAUGUAACUAGGAAGGCAGGGUGGGAAUUUUGACAGAUUUGUUUUUUAAUUUUUUUUUUUUUUUAAUUCCAGAGAAGAGAAAGUUGAAUUCAAAAAGGGGUCUUGGUUUGCUCCAUCAGGGGAAGAAAAGAGAGAAAAAUAGCUUUUGUUCUCCCCCAGAAAAGAAGCUGGCAUAACACAUUGGUGGUGUUUCAAAAGUGACUCCAGGGGCUAGCUUGUUCAGUGUUGGAAAAUUGGCUGCCAUCUCCCCCUCCAGAAUGAGGGAGCAGUGGAGAGCUUAGAGAAAAGUGGGAGAGUUGCAAAAAAAAAAAAAA
rnacentral:lncRNA from 1 species